AUUGAAGAAAGAAAAUUCUAAAUUGAAGCACUUUACUUAACUGUAGUGAACAAUAGGUAAAUAAAGAAGAAAGAAAAGAAAAGCGUUUGAGAUCCAUGGAUCCCCCACAUUUGUAGAUACAAGAAUGAAUUAUUAAGAAGAGAAGCUUUUUUUCUACUUUGUUGACCACAGAGACAAUGAAGAGGAUUUGCUUAUAUAUAUAUACGAGGUGUUCUAUAUUCCCUUCUUUACCAAGAAACAAAUACAUGCGAGAAUAAUAGUACAGCCUCUUCAAACACAAAGAAGAGAGAAAUUAAAAAAUGGCUCCCUCUCUAUCGCUCCUCUCCCUCAUUGUCUUUUCUCUCUCCUUACAGUUACUCCCUUCCUCUUCUUAUUCCGUACCGGUGGACACCUUCGUUUAUGGCGGCUGCACGCAACAAAGGUACAAUCCAACCUCGCCGUACGAGUCAAACCUCAACUCGCUACUUGGCUCGCUGGUCAACUCAGCCACAUUCUCCGCCUACAACAACCUCACCGUCCUUUCAUCUUCGCAAAGUGGCGUCGCCUACGGUCUAUACCAGUGCCGAGGCGACCUCGCCAUGCAAGACUGCGCCUCCUGCGUCGCACGUGCCGUCUCACGAGCUGGCGAGCUCUGUCCGGGAGCGUGCGGCGGUGCCGUCCAGCUCGACGGCUGCUUCGUCAAGUACGACAACGUCGCGUUCGUUGGGGUGGAGGACAAGUCGGUGGUACUGAGGAAGUGCGGCUCUCAUUCGGCCGGCUACGAUCCGGAAGCGGUUUUGGUUGGGUUGGCGGGUUCGGGAGGGUACUUUCGGGUUGGAGGUUCGGGUCGGCUGAAGGGUGUGGCUCAGUGCACGGGGGAUCUCAGUGCAGCGGAGUGCCAGGAUUGCGUUGGCGAGGCGGUGCGGCGGCUGAGGAGUGAUUGCGCCGCCUCCGAUUACGGGGACAUGUUUCUGGGGAAGUGCUACGCCAGGUUCUCGACCGGUGGGGCCCAUGGAGGGUACUACAACUCAAAAGCCCAUGGUAGAUCGGACAAUGAAGGUGAGAAGACAUUUGCAAUAAUUAUUGGAUUAUUAGCAGGUGUAGCUUUACUCAUUAUUUUCCUUGCUUUCUUGAGGAGAAUUUGUGAAGGACAAGGUAAAUAAAAUUAUGUUUGUCGUCAAACUCUAUAUGUGGCAUGCACAUUGGCUCUGAUCAUAUUCUCAGCCUUCUCCAAUGAAUUUAAGCAAGAGUUCGAUUUCACGAGAAUAUCAAGCCCCUUGUAUUCAUACCAAUAUCCGUAAGUAGUCCACUUAUGUUAUGGACUUUGUCUUAUGGAGUUAUGACAAUGAAUACAAAAUCAUGGACCAUAAAAUUGAAGAAGGUUGAUAUAGCAUCGCCAAUGCACACUGUUUCUUAUCACGAUUACCAAAAAGGCAAAUAUAUAAAUUGAAUUAUUGCAAGAUAUGAAUAAUGAAUUAUUGUUGCAACCGUU